CAGCAGGGUUUAGACUACACUAUAGCUGUUUAGUACUAUCUUGUCGUUCUCCCUGCUCAAAGUAAAGUUCUUUCUUAUCUAUCCCUCUCUGCUAGUCUCUUGUAGCAGCCCAGGGACACUUCAUCUCAUAGAG
rnacentral:snoRNA from 1 species